CAGUCGCCACGGUAAUACGUAGGGCGCAAGCGUUAAUCGGAAUUACUGGGCGUAAAGCGUGCGCAGGCGGUUUGUUAAGACAGAUGUGAAAUCCCCGGGCUCAACCUGGGAACUGCAUUUGUGACUGGCAAGCUAGAGUGUGGCAGAGGGGGGUGGAAUUCCGCGUGUAGCAGUGAAAUGCGUAGAUAUGCGGAGGAACACCGAUGGCGAAGGCAGCCCCCUGGGCCAACACCGACGCUCAUGCACGAAAGCGUGGGGAGCAAACAGGAUUAGAUACCCCGGUAGUCCCUGUCUCUUAUAC
rnacentral:rRNA from 1 species